rnacentral:rRNA from 1 species
CCGCCCGUCACACCACGAAAGCCCGCUGCAACAGAAAUCAGUGAUCUAACCCGCAAGGGAGGAAGCUGCUGAAGUUGUGGUUGGUGAUUGGGGUG